rnacentral:lncRNA from 1 species
CAUUAAAAUUUGGACCAGACAUAUUUGGCGGUGUCCCUCUUCCAGGGCCAGAUUGAUUAAAAUACAUUGGAUUCCCCAAAUUAGGAGGGAAUCCAGUCCCAGGAAGCACAGGUGAGAGUCCAGGUGGAACACCUAGCAUAUUCAUCUCAAGACCUCGGGCUCCAGGCCAAACCACAGGAGGUGAAAAUGGAGGAAUGAAAACACCAGGAGCCAUUGGAGGACCUGGAGCAGGUGACAUGUUAGGAGCUAAAGACUGCAAAGAUCCAGGUGAUGGCAUUCCAAGUGGUCCAAAAGGUGAUCCCAUCAUUGGCAUUGGAGGUCCAAACUGGUGGCCAUCUCUUCCUGUGGGCCUCCCUCUUCCUCCUCUCCCAACCCUACUUCCUUUAGAACCCAUUGGAACAUCUCUAUUGAAGGAAGAUGGUUCCUGGUUUCCAUAUGGAGGUUCUGAACCACUAUUGGAAGUUUGGCCGAAGGCAGCUCGAACAGAUGCAUCUCCUUUCUGGGGCCUUGAUUCAGUCUCAUCCCUAUAUGAACCAUCACCUGAUGUAUUCUUUAUAUCUUGAGCAGAUUGGCCUGACCAAUUCAUGUUUCUUCCCCUGUCAUCCCUAGGAAAGGCAUAGUUCUCAUCAUCUGGAACUGAUUUUGCAUCAGAACUCUGAUUAACUUCAGUUGUUCUUGCUGCUGAAGAUAUGGCCUCCUCCCUACCAUAGUCAAAUGGCCUGGUUUGGAUCUCUAUGACAUCAUAAUUGUCAUUUGAAAUUCCAUAUUUCGAUGAAGUUUUCAAGGCUUCAGUCCUAUUUCCAUCUUUUCUACCACCAGAACGAGGCCUUUCAUUGUCAAUCCACCCACGUCGGGGCAUUUCCCACUCUCUUCCAUGUUCAUAAGGUGUCUCACCUUCUUUUAUUUCCUUGUCAACAAAGUUCCCUUGCCUUCUUUUCCACCCAUCUUUGGACCCAUCCCUAACUCUGUUUCUAUCGCUCCUGCCAUCAUCCCUUCCUUUUGAUUUAUCAUCUCUCGCACCAUCUUUUUCUUGUUCUUUCCUCCUGAAAGUAUCUCUUUUUUCAUAUUCCAUCUCAACGCUUUCUAAAUCGUAAUGGCGUCUUCCACCCUUCUCAGGUGUCCUGGGCCUAUCAGAGGAGUCCAACUCUCUCCUAGUUCUCUCUCGCACCCGUGAGCCACCGUCAUCACCUGCGACCGCAGACCUUUCACGGCUUUCCGCAAUGUCAUGACUUGUGGCACCUUUUAGCUGUCUAUGCUCCUCAAAUCUCUCUAUGCUCAAUUUAUCGUCCCGUAUAGAAAAUGCUCCUCCUCUGUCUUCCUCUAUAGCAUACGACCUGCCUUUCUUAAUCCUAUCAUAGUCAAUUUUUCUCUCGUCACUUUCUGGGUAUUUACCAUUCUUGUCUCUAUUUGACUCUUUAAGGCUAUCUAACAACACAUGACCCUUUUCUGUGGUACUGUCCUUUCUUUCCAAAUGUCUAGAAUCCCUUUCCAGUGCAUUUCCAGAGUCCCCACCAUGUAGCUUCUCAUUAUUACCUUUAUUUCUUGUCUGGGAACCAUCACCAUCAGAAAACCUGGAAGUUGAUUUCCUUCUGACACCAUCAUUAGCUAGGAUUUGUCCUCUAUCCCCUGUUUUAUCUCCAUUAUCAUACUUGCCCCCAAGUUCUCCAUCCUGAUACCAAUUGCUCAAUGUCUCCAAUGUAUUCUCACCGUGUUUCUUCUUUGUCAAUUUGGACCGCAAGUCGUUUUCAGCCUCAUAGUCAUCCUCACCAAUAUCAGCUUUGCUUGAUCCUCCUGAUCUUUUCCGACUCUCAUUUCUUUCCAAUGUACUUCUCCUUCUUUCAUUACUAUCUAAACCUUCAGCUUCUUCACUGUUGCCAGGCCUUGACUUACUUGACCUGUAUUUUCUCUUAUCAUCCCCUUCCCAGUCAUCGUCAAACUUUAAGUCUAGGUCAUCCUGUUUCAGAUAACUCCUUCGUCGUUCAGGGGAAGCCAUCAACAGAAAUUACCCUCACUAGAUGAUUCUCAGCACUUCAUUGAAUGAUGCAAUACCAGAUAGCCUCCUGAGAGAUAGAGAGAAAUGGAGAAAAUGAUUGAUGAGCUGACCUUACUGUGAAUCUAAAUUCAGGCAACAAUUCAUGAUAUAAGACACAGACAAAAUAUUGUAAUUAUAAGAGACAAUGAGGUACCAUGGGAGAGAGAAAUACAGAGAAUAAACUAUGCAGGUUAAACAGGAGUUUCAUUCCAAUAGUUUCAACUCAAUGAUGCUAAAUACUAUUUUGAACCCACCACAAUCUUCCUCUGAGUGGAACCAGCAAUAUGUUUCACAUGGUCAAGCACCAUUUUCGACAAAAGAACAGAGCACAGAAAAAAGAUUGAUAACCGCCACCUUAUUCCAUUUAGGUCACACAUACGCUUCCAAUAAACUUGCACCAAAUUUUUUUUAUUAGACUGGAAAAAAUGUUUUUCAAAAAAGUACUUCUAGAAUUUGGCAGUUUGUGUUUGACUAAUCAAUUUGCAAAAACACUUUUGCCUUAGAGCAGUAACUUGUGUUUGGCCAAGGUUCCAAAAGUGUUCCCUUUUUCAGCUUUUGAGUAACAACUUCUGCUACUGCUCAAAAAUACUUAGGCUUGGCCAAAUACCUCAACUAUCUAAGAUAAUCACUACCAUUUUUGGCUUCCCAAAAGCUUAGCUAAUCAGGCUAUUAACAAUCACUACCUAAUUAUAAUUCAAUCAAUCAGUUCCAAACUAAACACCACAAACUAAAAGUUCAAUAAUCUUUCGGAAACUCAUGUAUAUCUUUGUAUGAAGACUUAAGGACUCAAAUAACAGAAAACACAAGCAUAUUCCGAAUAUUUAGAAUUUACACUGAGAAACAGAAGAAGUAGAGCACCUUCCGAUGCCGGCGGAUUCGGUGGCGAGUGAUCUCCGGUGAUCAAUUCACGGCGUCGUCGUAGAAAUAUGGAGGAGGUAUGUGGAAGCAAAGGGAAGAUAAAGGAAAUCGGGUUUAAAGUAUUAUGGAUCCGAACCUCGAUGGAUCAAAGGAAAAUUGACCCGAUCAACUUUGACAUAAUGAAUACGUAAUUUAUUAUUUUUUACUAAUCGGAUUCAUGUUUAAUUUCAUCAAGAUUGAAAAAUAUUUAUUUGAAUUUAGUUUUAAUUUAGGAGGUUUAAAAGAGAAAAGGAAUAUUUGUGACCCUCUUUAGUCUUAAACUAAAAAAUAUAUAUUACUCUCCAAUACUGAGUUUAAAAAAAAGUAAAUAAGAGAUAUGUAGAGUAGAAUGAAUGUAUCAAAUACUCUUUGAUCUUGUGAAAAAUUAAAACUAAAGAAUUGACAAAAAAGAAAAGAAAUGCUACUUUUUAAACAAACUAACAAAGAAAAUAAAACAAAAGAAAUAUAUAGAUUAUAUAAAAAUAUCUUUUUAAUUUUAUAAUCUUGAUACGAAAAGUUGAAAUUCAAGAGUAGUCAAAAAAAGAGGCAAACUUUUUUAAACAGAAUAAAACAAAAAGCAAGACAAACAAAUAAAAAACCGAAGCAGUAUAAUUUUUUAUUGUUAGUUGUGUUUAGUUCUUUUGUAUAAUAAGAAAGAUAAAAUAGGACAAAUGUACUACAUUUGAGAAACCCAAAUAAAAUUUGGAGAUAGUAGGAGCUAAGAGCAAGACAAAUAUCAAGUAGGUUGAACAACAGAAGAUCCUCAAUUAUCCAUUGAUGAAGAAUAUAUAUACUCAAUUCUCUACUGAAUCAUCAACAGAUUAAAGAAAUGAAGACGUCUUCAUGACCACAAUAUCGUAACGUAAAAAAGAACUGUUCACGGCGCGGAGAAUGUGGUUUUGUCACUACAAGAAUUCAGAGUUUGUCUGUCUAAAGGCUGCAUUAUACCCAUACAUAUCGAAAAGCCUAUUAUCUGAAAUCAUAUGUCCAUCCUCUCUCCCAGGAAAAAUCUCCAUUGGAGGAGCCCAAGGACCUGAAUUCGGGUUGUUAGAGCUAGAGGUUUCUUGAUUCACAUUUUGUGAAUUAGUAUUAUUUUGGGGUGAGUUCCCGGUUGCCCUCUUGUUGGAUGAGUUGUUUGUUGUCAUAGAUAUAGAUGCUGACUGAUGCUGCUGAUUCUUCAUUGGCGACUUGGGACGAAGAGCCUCUAUUUCAGGUGUCGUAACAACAAGAUGUGGGGCAUCUGGUGGUGGAUUCCUCCCUCCCCCACCCUGCCACACUUUCCCAUCUCUAUCAGCAAAAUUCCGCACAUAGGCCUGAAAUUUUUCAAAAUCUACAGUAAGUAACGAAGACAGCAUAAUACACACACACUAAAUUAUUUCAGUGUACAAGAUUAAGCCAAUCUUUUGAUCUUCAGACAUAUUUGGGGAAGAGAUCACAAAUCACCAAUCUUUGUUUCCAAAUGAAGACAACUAUUGAAAUAUACCAUUGAGAGAACACAAAGGAAAAUGAAUAGGACAGAAUAACUAAGCAGGUCUGAUGCAUACUGAGAAGAGCAGGAAUCUGCCGACAAAAUGCAUGUUAUUUCUUUCUCCCCCUCCCCAAACCCCUACCUGAGUUAUUUUGGGUGAUUAGGGGGGGUGAAAGACAGAGCAACUAUAUACUCUCCAUGUCUCAUAAAUAAAAUGAACUAAAGGAAGGGUAACUAAAAGUUUACCUCUGCACUGAAAUUCGAUGAAGAUAAUCCAUUACCAACAGUCAGCCAGCCAGAUCGAAUAUUAUGAUCUUCACCAAAGAGCUCAAGCCUUCUCCGGCCAAGUGCAAAAUGCUCAAUUAUACGGUACAUAUCUUCAGGCUUUGCACUUGAUCCUGCAUAAGGGGACCAGUAGCAAUUCAAAGAGCUCAGCCAUUGUGCAUACCCAGUGCAGAGAGACAAUGCAGCAUAUUACGUUAAAAUUUCGUUCAUUUUAGGACAGAAUCCAAAUUACGUGCAGUUCAUGAAUCACAUGAUAGUUUAACUUCUAAACUUUCUCCAGCAGAAGCAAUAGCUGUUACAUAACUUGGAAAUAACAAACCAAUCAAGGACUACCAUAACUUGAACCUAAGUUGCUCAGACUCGGGUUGCGGGUGUCUGAUAUAGGUGUGGAUCUAGAGGUCAGAUCCUUCGUGUUCUUAAUUUUAAGAUUCGGGGGUACGAAUCCAGGUAUGGAUACAGGUGCUCAGAUUCAGCUAAAAAUAAUUCAAAUAUCCAAAAAAAGAAUUAUAUGUCUAAAUUAUAAGACAUUAUUUUGAAAACUUACAAGGUAUUUCAAAGAGAAAUUAUUGAUCAAGAGGAGGAUCCCGAAAGAGAUAAAAGGAAAAGGACUGACAUCGAAAUUUCUACUAACAAGUUAUUCCAUUUUCUUCAAUUUCACCUUAGUUUUUGUUUUGAUUACAAAAAUCAUAGGUAUUUAUUCCGAAUUUCUCCGUCAAUUUUGGUCAAAGUACCAAAAUCAGUUGACCAAAUCCGGUAUGGAUCCCACACCCACAUCGUAGCGACACGGAUGUGGCACCGAAAGUGAAGAGUCCAAGCAACUUAGACUUGAACGACAGGAGAAGAAAACUGAGGGAUCAUUUAGUUAUGAGGAUGAAGGAUAAUAAUUCCGGAAUAAAAUGUGGCUUAUUAUUCCGGGUUUUGUUGAAUUUUUAAUUUCGGGAUUGGUAAUUCUAUGUUUAUUUAUACCACAAUUGCUGUAUUAUUUUACACCACAUUCAAUGUGGAAAAACAAUAAUCCAGGGAUAAAACAACAACAUGACACAUUUGCCCUUCUCCAAAGCUCUUCUUCCAAAGUCUUUCAAGAAAGCCAAGGUUAAAAUUGAAAAUAAAAGUUUAUUCAAUGUUAUCUAGUGUGAAACCGAACACAUUUAUUAUGCCCCAUAUAUCCUAUUUCUAGACCAAUGAACCAAAUAUCUACCAAUUAAAUUUAUAUCCACUAAAUAAUCUUGUUCACAUACCAAACAACCACAAAAGGCUCUAUUCAAGAUGUGUUCAUACAGAAUUCUGGUAAAAGUCCAGGUUUCAACUGAAAGGCAUAUCCAACACCAAAACGGGACCGAAAGCAUAAAGAAAGCCCAAAAAAAUAGUGAAAGGAGCAAUUCAUAAGACAGAAUCCCCACUCCAUCAGUCUCUCAGCCUUCACCCACCCAGGGAAUGGUAAUUGUCCUCGUUUUAUGAGCAAACCAAACAAGGAGGAGAAAACUGAAGAUGGCUGGUUCUUAUGGCUGAAUUAGGGGCUUUUAGGUGGAUAGCAGGAAUGAGGGAGUGGAGAUUCCUCCGCUACUCUCUGCUGAUGAUACACUGGUCUUUUGUGAUGCCAAAUUGAGCAAUUAUUCAGGUGUUGGCUGGUGUUCUGGGAUGUGAUGCAAGGAUAUUUAUUACCUACGACAAAUUUGGGACUGUCUUUGGGGGCAAAGAAUAGGUCUAUGCACAUAUGCAAUGGGGGGAUUGAUAAAUGUGAUAAAGAGGUUGACAAGAUGGAAGGCACAAUAUUUAUCCUUGGGAGACAGGGUCACAUAAUGAUUAGUAAUGCGUUUCCCACUUAUAUUAUGUAAACCCACACCCCGCUAAGGUGGAGAAAGAUUGGAUUACUUGAGAAGAAACUUUCUUUGACAAAGUAACAAGGGAACUCAUUUAGUUAGGUGGAAAUCUGUCUCAUCCAGUAAAAUGUUAGGGGAUUUGGGGAUCAGAAACUUCAUAUUACAAAACCAAGUUUAUUAUGUAAGUGGUUAUGGAGAAUUGAUUCUUGAGCUGAGGGUCUCUUGGAAACAGCCUCUCUACCUCCACGAGGUAGUGGCAAGGUCUGCGUACUACUUACCCUCCCCAGACCCCACCUAGUGGGAUUUCACUGGGUUGUUGUUGUUGUUGUUGUUGUUGUUGUUAUGGAGAAUUGAUAUAGACCACAAUGCCUUAUAGAUGUUAGAACUUUUAUUUUAUAGGUCCUAUGCAUUCUAGGAGUGGUUUAGCCUUUCGGAGAUCUAUACAUAUAGAAGAUAUAUAGAGCUUCUGAUAAGUUCUCAUUUUCAUAGUAUUGGCAUGAGAUGAGUUUAAAUGAAGGUGCGGGGUCGGUGAGGAUUCAUAAUUUCAUAUAAUCAACCCCAACCCCAACUUGUUUGGGACUGAAGCAUAAUUGUUAUUGUUGUUGUUGUUAUUGCCAUAGGUCAGUAGCUCUAUCAGUAUCUUACUUCUAUAGGAGAACAAACAAUUGGAAAGUGGAUGACAGAAGCAACAUGCAGUCAGUUUCUGCGACCCAUAUUUCAUGAUUAACAUUUCUACUCUGCACAAAGCAAACAUAAAAUGCACACACAGCAUUGUCUGGAAUGAGAAAGAAUCUACCAUAAGGAGGUUCCUCAGCAAUAAUCACAUCUGUGUCAAUAUUCGCAUGAAUUAUAUGGCCAUCGGUACUACGACGAACAGUUCCUUUUAUGCCCAAAAGGCAGUGCUCCUAUACCAUGACAGUGAACAGCAGAACGUAAGUUCCAUAUGAUGGAAAACUACCAAGCAUGGUGAAAUGAGUGAACAGGAUAUAAACCUUUGUAUGCUGCAAUAAAGUAUGGGAAUCAUGACGCAAUCCUGGAGUUGCAGUGGUCUUAUUUGUUUUCACCCAACAUAUGUCCUCACAUCUGCGGAAUCCCCACUGCAGAAUGGAGAGAACAAUGUUUAGAAAUAAUUACAAUGACCUAAUAUUGAAAACAGCAACCAACAGAUGCAUCUAGUUGUGAUUGUGCUCAUCUGUGGCAGUAGCAGAAGGAAGAUAUCAAAAGCAGCAAUCAGCAGAUUCAUGACCAUAGAGUACAACAACAACAUACCAAGUGUAAUCCCACAAGUGGGGAAGGUAGAGAGUUUGUUACCGAUAAGACAUUCAUGAACAUAGAGUAUUUCUCAAAUUGUUUAAACUACAUACCUUCUUCAGACAUUGGCGCCCUUGCUCAAGCCCCACGCCAUCACCAACCCAAAGGAAAACAAAUGAUGGAGUGUCAGCAAUUGCCUGAGAAUAGACAGUUUACACCAUCUUUAGGCUCAGAAAGGAGAAGCUGACAGGACAGAGUAAAGAACCAACUACUCUGUAGCCAUUUUAAAAAAAAUAGAAGUACAACUGUAUAAGUCAAAGUAAAAGUUGCUAAUAACACAACAUUUUUUGCACACGAGGUUCUCCACCAGCCUACUCCAAAGCAACAGUAAAAAUAUUUAGAGUAAAGAACCAGGUUGACAUGCAAAAGUCAUACCUCAAUUUUGAGAUUCAUUAUUUCCUCAAAUGUCCAGUAUGCCAUAUGGUCAGUGACACCAGGAGCUCGAUGAACAUAUUCCUCCCAUGGGGGGUCAAUUAGAAUGACAUCAAAUUUGGUCCCAAAUAACUCUGGGGAGAGCUCCUGCUCAUGUAGGUCACAUUUGUAAUACAUGGGAGAUGAAGAAGAUUUGACAACAAUCUCAUCCUUCCUUUGAAUAAGUUCUCGAAGCUUGGGAUAGUCCUCAAUAACACUGGUAAGCUCUAAUUCCCUGAUGAAAUUUUGAGGCCUCGUGCCAGUGUCUACAAAAUUUUGGGAAUAAUCAUUCUGCUCACCCCUAGAAGGAGCUUUUCCAGGUGGCGCAUUAGCUCGAGAAGGCACCCAACCUGCAUUAGCUUUAUCUUUAACCUGUCCACGACCUCCUGGUAUUAGUGCAUUAAAAUUUGGACCAGACAUGUUAGGUGGUGUUCCUCUUCCAGGACCUAGUUGAUUAAAAUACAUUGCAUGAUUUGGCAGAUUCCCCAAAUUAGGGGGAAAUCCAGGUCCAGACAGAACAGGUGGAAGUCCAGGUGGAACACCUAGCAUAUUCAUCUCAACACCUCGGCCUCCAGGCCAAACCAGAGGAGACGAAAAUGGAGGAAUGAAAGGGGACAUAGGUGGACCUGGAGCAGGUGACA